AUUUUUAUUCUUUUAUACUACUAUAUAAAGUGACUAAACCAUAUUAUAUUUGUUACGUUCAAAGGUGAAAAAAAAUGACUGAAACUCACGAGUUUGUUUAUAAUGUGAUGAUUUUUGUUUCCAUAUUUCUCUUUGUAAUCUUUGAUGAAAGAAAAUAUGAAUGCUAUAAUGAUGCCGAUUGUAAUAAACUAUAUCCUGAUCCUCCUACUGGAAAAAUAAUGAGGUGCUUUGGCGGUUAUUGUAAAAGCUUGUUUUCAUGGGAAGGAGCCUUAUAAUGCAGAGUUCGAUUGGAUGAUAAUUCAAUAAUGUUUGACCAAGGAUCAUUCCAACAAGAAUUCAAACGUUUGUCCUUAAUUAAAGCUCAAUAACCAUUUGUCUCAUGUUCUAAAGGAUCUAUUUAUAUUCAUAUCCUACAUACUACUCCGAUCUCUUUUGUAAGCAAAAAUUCCUUUUUGCACACUUAUUAAGGAGUAUCAUUUUUAUCUUAA